UGCGGAAGGAGAAUCAUGUUCAGGAA
rnacentral:piRNA from 1 species